rnacentral:rRNA from 1 species
AAACCAGCACCUCAAGUGGUCAGGAUGAUUAUUGGGCCUAAAGCAUCCGUAGCCUGUUCUAUAAGUUUCCGGUUAAAUCCACUAGCUCAACUAGUGGGCUGCCGAAAAUACUGUAGAACUAGGGAGUGGGAGAGGUAGACGGUAUUCGGUAGGAAGGGGUAAAAUCCUUUGAUCUAUUGAGGACCACCUGUGGCGAAGGCGGUCUACCAGAACACGUUCGACGGUGAGGGAUGAAAGCUGGGGGAGCAAACCGGAUUAGAAACCCGAGUAGUCC